rnacentral:rRNA from 1 species
GAUGAACGCUGGCGGCGUGCCUAACACAUGCAAGUCGAGCGAACAGACGAGGAGCUUUCCCCUCUGACGUUAGCGGCGGACGGGUGAGUAAUACGUCGAUAACCUACCUAUAAGGCGGGGACAACUUCGGGAAACCGGAGUCAAUACCAGGAUAUAUAUUCAACAGCAUGGUUCUAGACUGAAAGACGGUUUUGCUUUCACUUUGCGAUGGAUCCGCGUCGCAGUAGCUAGGUGGUAAGGUAACGGCUGACCAAGGCAACGAUGCGUAUCCGACCUGAGAGGGUGAUCGGCCACACUGGAACUGAGACACGGUCCAGACUCCUACGGGAGGCAGCAGUAGGGAAUCUUACGCAAUGGGCGAAAGCAUGACGGAGCAACGCCGCGUGAGUGAUGAAGGCCUUCGGAUCGUAAAGCUCUGUUAUUGGGGAAGAACAAAUUUGAAAGUAACAAUGCACGCAUUGACGGUACCUACUCAGAAAGCCACGGCUAACUACGUG